GACGAACGCUGGCGGCGUGCCUAAUACAUGCAAGUCGAACGCAUUUUCUUUCACCGUAGCUUGCUACACCGAAAGAAAAUGAGUGGCGAACGGGGGAGUAACACGUGGGUAACCUGCCCAUCAGCGGGGGAUAACACUUGGAAACAGGUGCUAAUACCGCAUAAUUCCAUUUACCGCAUGGUAGAUGGAUGAAAGGCGCUUUUGCGUCACUGAUGGAGGGACCCGCGGUGCAUUAGCUAGUUGGUGGGGUAACGGCCUACCAAGGCUGCGAUGCAUAGCCGACCUGCGAGGGUGAUCGGCCACACUGGGACUGAGACACGGCCCAGACUCCUACGGGAGGCAGCAGUAGGGAAUCUUCGGCAAUGGACGCAAGUCUGACCGAGCAACGCCGCGUGAGUGAAGAAGGUUUUCGGAUCGUAAAACUCUGUUGUUAGAGAAGAACAAGGAUGAGAGUGGAAAGUUCAUCCCUUGACGGUAUCUAACCAGAAAGCCACGGCUAACUACGUG
rnacentral:rRNA from 1 species